rnacentral:piRNA from 1 species
CUACACAACACUGUCUCUUUAAAUA